rnacentral:sRNA from 1 species
CUCGUUUAACGACCUUAAUGUCAACCAAGAACUAAUUUUUUCCGAUUGACAACAAAAAAUUAGAAAUCAAGUAUGGCAAAAUUGCAUGAUUAAACUGUUCUUCCAAAUAAGCUGAGCCGCUACGUAGAUUCGAAGAAGGUCAAUAAGGAAGCUGCACCAAAUAAUCCUACUUUAAAGCUGCCUUAAGUUUUGUGAAUAUGGGCAUACGUUUACAAGCAGCAUUUUAGGAUAAACCAUCAAGAACGUGCCAGGAUUCAACCACAACCAUUUCUUAUUAAGAACCGCUCAUCUCUCUCAAAUGCGCGGCUAAACAACGACAAUAAGAUCCACGAACUCUGCGACAUUGGUGAUUGCGUAAAGACGUAUCUGGUAGCAAGUCGAGUUACACCCAGCACGUUGGCUUCACUCCAAGACUCUGGCCCAAACACAUUUUAGCAGAUGAAAUUGUUUGGGCUAGAACUACUCUGGUUUGCCGAGCGAGGUUAACCACUUCAGCGUUGAACGUCUUGUUCUUGAUCAUGAAGAUUCAAGUUUACGUCCCCGUACGGUGGUUGCCCAUUCACAAGACGGUGUUUUGAUUGCUUGGACUGUGUCUUCGCACAGAAAGGAACUUUGUCUUUAAGAAACAGUCCGUCGUAGUUCUCAACCACAAGUGUCGACAAGUGGCUUGAAGAUCUUGUUUCUACUUUAACUUGUUCUUAAUUUUGCAGAGGAAUACUUCGAUUUCUUAUCCCUAAAUUCCUAAUAUGACUGGAACCGAUUUUUAAUAAAAUUAAGCCAAGGCUUUCAAAUUUGUAAUAAAACAUUCCAUACGAAAUUUCGUGCAAUUUGUUUGAAAAUUGUCUUAUGUCCCUAUGACUGUAAAUCGGAAGAUAUAUCUACUAAACUUUUUUUUUUACCAAAAUUCUAGUGUUCGUCUUUGGGUUAAAAAUGUUAUAUUUGGAAAAUUUCAUGAUUAAAAAACUCAACAGACGGACAAACGGUAUUGAAAGGAAAAGCGGUCAGACGGAUAUGGCACACUGCAUCACUUCUAAAGUAUAGGUUCUGGGUACCGCUCAUGGAUUCAUAACCAUAAAUGCCAUAUAAAUGUGUAUGGCUUAUAACUCUUAACUGGAUUCCUCAGAGAGUACUACAUCCAACUUUCGAUGUCGUGUUGACACGACGAGGGAGUAGCUGCAUUUCAAAUAUUUGAUUUUAAAAGUUUGCCACUUUUUAAAGUAACCUCUC